UUCAUGUCUGGAAUAAUAACGCCAAAGGGGUACGUAAUACCGGAUAUCUUGCUUUUCAUAAGUAUGCAAGCAAAGUGGCCUCUGCAUAUGCUACUGCAUGGAAGAGGGGGUCUGCGUACCAUUAGCUAGUAGGUGGGGUAAUGGCCUACCUAGGCGACGAUGGUUAGCGGGUCUGAGAGGAUGAUCCGCCACACUGGCACUGGAACACGGGCCAGACUCCUACGGGAGGCAGCAGUGAGGAAUAUUGCGCAAUGGGGGAAACCCUGACGCAGCGACGCCGCGUGAGUGAGGAAGGCCUUCGGGUCGUAAAGCUCUGUCAAGAGGAAAGAAGUGUACAAUGGCUAAUACCUGUUGUAUUUGACGGUACCUCUAAAGGAAGCACCGGCUAACUCCGUGCCAGCAGCAGC
rnacentral:rRNA from 1 species